UCAUUUCAAAAAUGCGUUUGAAAAACACUUGACGUUGGAUAAGAUUUUAAAAUAUUGUAAAUAUUAAUUAUUGUUUUUUUCUUUAAUUAUUUAAAUAACUAAAAAAAUAAUUAAUAAAAUAAAAGAAGAUAAAAAAAAUAAUGAUGCGAUAAAAUGGAGUGGAAUAGUAAUGCAUGGGUGAUGAUAAACAAAGAAAUAAAAUAAAUGGGUUAGGCCCAAUAGAAAUCAAAGGAAGAAAACAAAAUAAAAACAAAGUCAAUCAUGAAAAAAAAAAUAGAAAGAAAGUAAAAGGGGGUG
rnacentral:lncRNA from 1 species